UCUGCGGCGAGCGAGGACACAGCCAGCCGGCUGCCCGUUCCCGGUACCUGCCGCAUCCCCGCUCGUCCCCUGCCCCUGGCCGUGCCCCCGCCCGGAGCGCCCCGCAGCCUCCUGUAGCUGGGGCGGGCAGGGGACCGCCCUCGCCCGUCGGAGAGGAGAGGGGCAGAGCAGCCCAAGGCAACCCCCAAGCCCGGUGUCACGGUCUGGGUCCCCCGAGGGGGGAGAAAGCACAUCGUGGAAACCUGUGAGCAGGACACCACUGCUAUUUAUCUGCUGGUAAUAUUCAGUUUGGUUAGUGUGAACCCCAGAUGAAGAUAACAUGGAAAACCACCAAACUGGAAAUGUGCUGUCCUGUAUGCCUUCUCACAGCUGAAUCUGGAUUGUCUUCUGAAUGGAACAUCAUCAGACCAGAAGCCAUCUUUACAUUUGUGGUUUUUUUCAUUCUGGCAAAAGAACUGGAUGGAGAAUAA
rnacentral:lncRNA from 1 species